rnacentral:rRNA from 1 species
GAUGAACGAUGCCAGAAAGCUUAACACAUACAAGUCGCCUCGAGUCUUCGGACUUGGGUGGCGCACGGGUGAGUAACGCGUAAAGAACUAGCCUCUAGACCGGGACAACAUCUGGAAACGGAUGCUAAUACCGGAUAUUAUGGUUUUUUCGCAUGGAGGAAUCAUGAAAGCUAGAUGCGCUAAGAGAGAGCUUUGCGUCCCAUCAGCUAGUUGGUGAGGUAACGGCCCACCAAGGCAAUGAUGGGUAGCCGGCCUGAGAGGGUGAACGGCCACAAGGGGACUGAGACACGGCCCUUACUCCUACGGGAGGCAGCAGUGGGGAAUAUUGGACAAUGGACCACAAGUCUGAUCCAGCAAUUCUGUGUGCACGAUGACGUUUUUCGGAAUGUAAAGUGCUUUCAGUCGGGAAGAAGUCAGUGACGGUACCGACAGAAGAAGCGACGGCUAAAUACGUGCCAGCAGCCGCGGUAAUACGUAUGUCGCAAGCGUUAUCCGGAUUUAUUGGGCGUAAAGCGCGUCUAGGCGGCAAGGAAAGUCUGAUGUGAAAAUGCGGAGCUCAACUCCGUAUGGCGUUGGAAACUGCCUUACUAGAGUACUGGAGAGGUAGGCGGAACUACAAGUGUAGAGGUGAAAUUCGUAGAUAUUUGUAGGAAUGCCGAUGGGGAAGCCAGCCUACUGGACAGAUACUGACGCUAAAGCGCGAAAGCGUGGGUAGCAAACAGG